AACUGACAAAGGUAGUGAAUUGGUUUGCACAACUUGGUGGAAAGUACGCAUCACUUUCUGUUCAGCCACUUUCCUUUUUCCUAGUUUGAUUUCCUACUAAAAGCAACAAUGCAAUGAAAUCAUAUAUGGCCACAUCAUGGUUUUGUUAUUGUCGUUGUCGUUAAUCGAUGAUAAAGCGAGGCCAUAGAAUACCCAGAGACGUUCCUUAGUACUGUAUGUUCUGAUUGGCUAGUGAGAAUUGAAAUCUCUUACCCACGCUCUUUGUAUGGUAUUCACCAACGUUUCCCUCAAUUUAAAUAAAUUUGUUUCUGGUGAUAGGUAAACAAUACCUACCUCGCUGCUUGCAUAACUGCAGAAGCUCUGCUCCCCUCUCCCUCCCCAACCCCCUCCCAAUCCUCAGUCAGCUUCGCCUCUUUGAACACCCGCACUCGAACGCGAAGAACUCUGACCUCUAAGUUUCUGAUCCAUCUAAAGCUCUCUUAAGUUAAAUGUAGCAUAAUAUUAUGGAGCCUUUCCUAUCAUCGCCUCAAGAAAAAUAUAGCCGUUAUGACUGCCAACCAGUAUUAUUUCGACCGCGAACUACUUUCCAUUGCAAAUUAUUCAAAGUGCACGUGUUGAUGCUGAUAAUUAUUCAUCUCAUGUUCAGUUAUUCACCAUCAUCUUCGUUGGUUCUUGUUCUGUCGGCGUUUUUAUCAAAAACAAAGAAACAUUCGCUAACCUAAUCUUGUAAAACCGCUAGUUAUGACGUUAGUAGAAAGAGACAGAUAUGCUCCAUAGCCAGGUAACGAUUAUUGGACAGAAACAACGAUAUGUUUGUCGUGAAGUCAAGGUACACGUGCUUAAUCAUGGAAAUUCAGUCGAGCUUGCAAGGUUUCGAUGUGGCUGGUGCGUCUUCGUUUGAUCUUGUGCCAGGUAGUAGGACGUAUGGGGAGUUUAGUCUUUGGCCUGUAGCCUGCAUUUCUUCACAGUUACAUUUAAUGGUAAGUUAACUACAGUAUUCAGUCGUUUUCAUUUGAAAAAAAGAUUGACUUAAGCGAUUCCAGUUUCAAAUUUUUAUUCUUCGAUCUACUGGGCCGUUUACACUUUAUGUGAGGGAGCAAAAAAACCGCAAAUCAAAAAUCAUUUGAACAUCAUCCGCACUGGUAUCAAACCAAAGGUGAGCAUCAUUUUCUAGAUGUGUCGUGUCGUGUUUGUUUUUGUAUGUCAAUCGGCAUUGGAACAGAAGUCUGGUACACGUAAGUCAUCUCACUUCUGGUUUGUUUCUUUGCGAUAUCCAAGGUAAAACAAAGUCUGUGACGACAUCAACGAACGAGCACAACUUUUAUACGUCAUCGAGUACGUACUAAAAGUUCAUUGUUACAUGGCAAAUGACGAGCUGGUCAACGCAAUGAUUAUGAUCCAUUUCUGUGGUACCAACGAGAUUCAAUGAGGGAGUCGCCUAUCAAGUCGGCAUUAAACUGCGUCGUAGACUGAUUCUGUAUAAUAAGGCUGCUGCAAGCUCUCUCAGCGUGGAGCUUUCUCCUUACAUUGCUUAUUGAAGCACAGAUAUGUUUAAUAAAGAACGCGAAAACACGUUGAACAUUUAAUCAGGUUGAAAUGUAUCGGGAAAAGAAAACGAAAACUAUGGAACGAGAAUAACUACGUUACACAGAUUGUAUGCUUGCCUUUAUUCAAAAAUUCUAAGUCUUUUACCAGGAAAUUUUUGAAAAAUAAACUAAGUCUUUUGGCGGGAAAUUAAACAAGCCUGCGCUUUUACAGUCUGUAAAUGGAGCUAGAGAUUUGACAAAACUAUACUAAGUCUUUUGGCGGGAAAAUAGUAUGCGUUUUUAAACUGUGCCUGGAAAAUUUUCAAAAAUAAACUAAGUCUUUUGGCGGGAAAAAAGUCUGCGCUUUAAAUUGAGUCUAGACAUUUGUCAAAAAUAAACUAAGUCUUUUGGCGGGAAAAAAUCUCUGCAGUUUGCAGUCAGAUUUUGCCCAUCAAAAUUCUGCCUUUAUUUUGACUUGUUACUAGACCUUGUUUAAAAGUGCAGAACGUUUUUCCGCGUCGGCAACCCUACAUAGUCAAAAAAUAGUAAAAGAGAUAGCCUACAUUUCGACUAGUUUCCAGGCCCCUUUAAAAGCGCGCAUUUUUUUUUUAUUAAGUGACAUAAGACUCAUUUGUUGAUUACAAUAUUGUUUCUUUAUUUCCAUUCAAUAAAGUAUUCAAUUGAUAACUGAUUUACAAGUUGUGAUCUUUAUUGAGUAUAUAUUUACAAGUAUGAGAACUAUUUAACUAACUACUAAGGUCAAUGGAUGCAGAGUAAUUUUACGAGUCGUAAAAUUUCUCUGUAUCUAUAGACCAAAGUAAUUAUU